rfam:Oryzias latipes DNA, chromosome21, strain: Hd-rR.
UAAAAGGCCCCUUUAGGGGCCCCGAACCCUUUCAAGGAAUAAUUUG